rnacentral:rRNA from 1 species
CCUACGGGAGGCAGCAGUGAGGAAUAUUGGUCAAUGGACGAGAGUCUGAACCAGCCAAGUAGCGUGAAGGAUGACUGCCCUAUGGGUUGUAAACUUCUUUUAUAUGGGAAUAAAAUGUUCCACGUGUGGGAUUUUGUAUGUACCAUAUGAAUAAGGAUCGGCUAACUCCGUGCCAGCAGCCGCGGUAAUACGGAGGAUCCGAGCGUUAUCCGGAUUUAUUGGGUUUAAAGGGAGCGUAGGUGGAUUGUUAAGUCAGUUGUGAAAGUUUGCGGCUCAACCGUAAAAUUGCAGUUGAUACUGGCAGUCUUGAGUACAGUAGAGGUAGGCGGAAUUCGUGGUGUAGCGGUGAAAUGCUUAGAUAUCACGAAGAACUCCGAUUGCGAAGGCAGCCUGCUGGACUGUAACUGACGCUGAUGCUCGAAAGUGUGGGGAUCAAACAGGAUUAGAUACCCGAGUAGUC